rnacentral:rRNA from 1 species
GCGUAAAGCGCGCGCAGGCGGUUUCUUAAGUCUGAUGUGAAAGCCCACGGCUCAACCGUGGAGGGUCAUUGGAAACUGGGGAACUUGAGUGCAGAAGAGAAAAGCGGAAUUCCACGUGUAGCGGUGAAAUGCGUAGAGAUGUGGAGGAACACCAGUGGCGAAGGCGGCUUUUUGGUCUGUAACUGACGCUGAGGCGCGAAAGCGUGGGGAGCAAACAGGAUUAGAUACCC